UACGUAGGGUGCAAGCGUUGUUCGGAAUUACUGGGCGUAAAGCGCGCGUAGGCGGGCUUACAAGUCGGUUGUGAAAUCCCUGGGCUUAACCCGGGAACUGCAGUCGAAACUGUAAGUCUUGAGUGCCUGAGAGGAUGGCGGAAUUCCCGGUGUAGAAGUGAAAUUCGUAGAUAUCGGGAAGAACACCUGAGGCGAAGGCGGCUAUCUGGCGGUGCACUGACGCUAAGGCGCGAAAGCGUGGGGAGCAAACAGG
rnacentral:rRNA from 1 species